rnacentral:rRNA from 1 species
GGGGAAUUUUGGACAAUGGGCGCAAGCCUGAUCCAGCCAUGCCGCGUGCGGGAAGAAGGCCUUCGGGUUGUAAACCGCUUUCGGACGGAAAGAAAUCGCUUGGGUUAAUACCCUGAGUGGAUGACGGUACCGUAAGAAGAAGCACCGGCUAACUACGUGCCAGCAGCCGCGGUAAUACGUAGGGUGCGAGCGUUAAUCGGAAUUACUGGGCGUAAAGCGUGCGCAGGCGGAUUGUUAAGCAAGAUGUGAAAUCCCCGGGCUUAACCUGGGAAUUGCAUUUUGAACUGGCAGUCUGGAGUGCGGCAGAGGGGGGUGGAAUUCCACGUGUAGCAGUGAAAUGCGUAGAGAUGUGGAGGAACACCGAUGGCGAAGGCAGCCCCCUGGGCCUGCACUGACGCUCAUGCACGAAAGCGUGGGGAGCAAAC